rnacentral:rRNA from 1 species
UACGUAGGGUGCAAGCGUUAAUCGGAAUUACUGGGCGUAAAGCGUGCGCAGGCGGUUGUGCAAGACAGAUGUGAAAUCCCCGGGCUUAACCUGGGAAUUGCAUUUGUGACUGCACGGCUAGAGUGUGUCAGAGGGGGUAGAAUUCCACGUGUGAGCAGUGAAAUGCGUAGAUAUGUGGAGGAAUACCGAUGGCGAAGGCAGCCCCCUGGGAUAACACUGACGCUCAUGCACGAAAGCGUGGGGAGCAAAC